GGUAGGCGGCGCGGUGUGGAGGGGAAGGCGCGCGGUGGGAAGGCGGCGCGCGGGGAGGAGGGGUGGUGGCGGCGGCGGCGGCGGCCCGAGGCGGCGGCUAGGGUUAGCGGAAGCUGGAAGAUCGACUUGCGAUAGAUAUGAUGUAGAGAAUGAUUUAAUGCAUCGAUAAUUGAUUAAUCGUGCACUAGGCACAAAUAUAUAGGUAUAAGGGGUGUGACUGGUAUCUUGUUUUCUAAGAUACACGUACAUACAGAGAAAGACAGAUACUACAGGUACUGCGUAUAGAACCCGGACUACUUACAUGUACACAUGUUCAACAGGCAACGCCCUCCGACGCACCAGCCAUGAUGUGGCGGCGCGGCCUCGGCGCGAGGCCGCCUAAAGCUUGACCGCGGCGAUGCCCAGCGCACACGCGCAUGGCGAGACGCUCUCCCACUACGCACGCUGCAGACGACAGCCUCGGCGCCCGCGAAGGCGGCACCCAACCGCGACGCGACGCGGCGCAGAAGACUGAGGCGACGCCGCAGCCCUCGGCUUGCAUCCGUGCAGGCGGCGCCCGAGGCAACGACCCUCGGCUGGCCCUCCGGCCCUGGAGGCAGCGGCGCCCUUCGGUGUGGCUCCCAUAGCGGAGAUGACGACGCUCCCACGGUCGCGGCCCAGGCCGGUGUGCCAAAACAGCGGCGGGCGGUUACAGGAUUUCUCCUGGUAGAAAGCGUUCAGGAGUAAAGAGAUAGGAGGAAUCUUAUCUCUUCGCAAGUUUUGCAUUUCAGCCUUGUGGCUUUACCUAUUUCCGAAAUAGGUCAAAACUUGCCUCUAUCAUUGUUUUACGGCUAAUUCCUGGAUGUUUCGGGAUAUUACAGCUUGGCCUAACCAGUUGCUGUUGAUUAGCACCAGUAACGUUAGGCCAUAUGCAGAUCAUCAUUUAGCC
rnacentral:rRNA from 1 species